rnacentral:rRNA from 1 species
AUUGAACGCUGGCGGCAGGCCUAACACAUGCAAGUCGAACGAGUGGCGGACGGGUGAGUAAUGUCUGGGAAACUGCCCGAUGGAGGGGGAUAACUACUGGAAACGGUAGCUAAUACCGCAUACCAUCGGAUGUGCCCAGAUGGGAUUAGCUAGUAGGUGGGGUAACGGCUCACCUAGGCGACGAUCCCUAGCUGAUCUGAGAGGAUGACCCGCCAGAAUGGAUCAGAGACACAGACCAGAACCCUGCGGGAGGCGGCAGUGGGGAAUAUUGCACAGUGGGCGAAGGCCUGAGGCAACCAGGCCGGGUAUAUGGAGAAGGCCUUAGGGUUGUAAAGUAAUUUCAGCGAGGAGAAGUUACACGCAGAAGAAGCACCGGCUAACUCCGUGCCAGCAGCCGAGAUAAUA